rnacentral:rRNA from 1 species
GACGAACCGUGCGAACGUUGUUCGGAAUCACUGGGCUUAAAGGGCGCGUAGGCGGGUGACCAAGUCCGGGGUGAAAUCCUCCAGCUCAACUGGAGAAGUGCCUCGGAUACUGGUUGUCUUGAGGAGGGUAGGGGCAUCUGGAACUAGCGGUGGAGCGGUGAAAUGCGUUGAUAUCGCUAGGAACUCCGGUGGCGAAGGCGAGGUGCUGGACCCUUUCUGACGCUGAGGCGCGAAAGCCAGGGGAGCGAACGGG